rnacentral:misc_RNA from 1 species
GAUGAAGAACGUAGUGAAAUGCGAUAAGUAAUGUGAAUUGCAGAAUUCAGUGAAUCAUCGAAUCUUUGAACGCACCUUGCGCCCUUUGGCCAUUCCGAAGGGCAUGCCUGUUUGAGUAUCAUGAACACCUCAACUCUUUAUGGUUUUCCAUGAUGAGCUUGGACUCUGGGGGUUUUGCUGGCUCACAGUCGGCUCCUCUAAAAUGAAUCAGCUUACCAGUGUUUGGUGGGUAUCAUGGGUGUGAUACCUAUCUACGCUUGUGGUUUUUCCACCAGGUAACCUUCAGCAGUGGAGGUUCGCUGGAGCUCAUAGAUGUCUCUCCUCAGUGAGGACAGCCCUUUGAAUGUUUGAUCUCAAAUCAGGUAGGACUACCCGCUGAACUUAAGCAUAUCAAUAAGCGGAGGA